GCCGAGGUGGCGGAACCGGUAGACGCGCUGGUUUUAGGUACCAGUGGGCAACCCCCGUGCGAGUUCGAGUCUCGCCCUCGGCACCA
rnacentral:tRNA from 1 species